rnacentral:rRNA from 1 species
GUUCGCGCUACCAUGCAGUCGAGCGGUAGCACAGAGGAGCUUGCUCCUUGGGUGACGAGCGGCGGACGGGUGAGUAAAGUCUGGGGAUCUGCCUGAUGGAGGGGGAUAACUACUGGAAACGGUAGCUAAUACCGCAUGACGUCUUCGGACCAAAGUGGGGGACCUUCGGGCCUCACGCCAUGAGAUGAACCCAGAUGGGAUUAGCUGGUAGGUGAGGUAACGGCUCACCUAGGCGACGAUCCCUAGCUGGUCUGAGAGGAUGACCAGCCACACUGGAACUGAGACACGGUCCAGACUCCUACGGGAGGCAGCAGUGGGGAAUAUUGCACAAUGGGGGAAACCCUGAUGCAGCCAUGCCGCGUGUGUGAAGAAGGCCUUCGGGUUGUAAAGCACUUUCAGCGGGGAGGAAGGCAAUGAGCUUAAUAAGUUUGUUGAUUGACGUUACCCGCAGAAGAAGCACCGGCUAACUCCGUGCCAGCAGCCGCGGUAAUACGGAGGGUGCAAGCGUUAAUCGGAAUGACUGGGCGUAAAGCGCACGCAGGCGGUCUGUUAAGUUGGAUGUGAAAUCCCCGGGCUCAACCCGGGAACAGCAUUCAAAACUGACAGGCUAGAGUCUCGUAGAGGGGGGUAGAAUUCCAGGUGUAGCGGUGAAAUGCGUAGAGAUCUGGAGGAAUACCGGUGGCGAAGGCGGCCCCCUGGACGAAGACUGACGCUCAGGUGCGAAAGCGUGGGGAGCAAACAGGAUUAGAUACCCUGGUAGUCCACGCUGUAAACGAUGUCGACUUGGAGGUUGUGGUCUUGAACCGUGGCUUCCGGAGCUAACGCGUUAAGUCGACCGCCUGGGGAGUACGGCCGCAAGGUUAAAACUCAAAUGAAUUGACGGGGGCCCGCACAAGCGGUGGAGCAUGUGGUUUAAUUCGAUGCAACGCGAAGAACCUUACCUACUCUUGACAUCCAGAGAAGACUGUAGAGAUACGGUUGUGCCUUCGGGAGCUCUGAGACAGGUGCUGCAUGGCUGUCGUCAGCUCGUGUUGUGAAAUGUUGGGUUAAGUCCCGCAACGAGCGCAACCCUUAUCCUUUGUUGCCAGCACUUCGGGUGGGAACUCAAAGGAGACUGCCGGUGAUAAACCGGAGGAAGGUGGGGAUGACGUCAAGUCAUCAUGGCCCUUACGAGUAGGGCUACACACGUGCUACAAUGGCGCAUACAAAGAGAAGCGAGCCUGCGAGGGUGAGCGGACCUCAUAAAGUGCGUCGUAGUCCGGAUUGGAGUCUGCAACUCGACUCCAUGAAGUCGGAAUCGCUAGUAAUCGUAGAUCAGAAUGCUACGGUGAAUACGUUCCCGGGCCUUGUACACACCGCCCGUCACACCAUGGGAGUGGGUUGCAAAAGAAGUAGGUAGCUUAACCUUAGGGGGGGCGCUACACUUGUA